CCAUUUCGUCACAAAAGCGUUUCCCCGUGCGCGGCCUGCUCGGUUCUUUUCUUUGCUCACCGGCCCAAGUUAUCGGCCCAGCUUUCUUUUCUUCCUUUUCCUCCUCUCGCAUCUUCUGUUUCCUUCUUUUCUUCUUCUUGCUUUUGUUUCGGUUCUCCAGCGACUGCUGCGAUAGCUUCCGCAAUGAGGCGCCAUUCGCCGGUGAGGGAUUCAGCACGGGAUGAAAGCCGAGGCUAUUCACCGGUGAGGGUUUCUGCACGGGAGGGUUCAUGCGAGGCGACGGCUUUCGCAAGGCAUCCAUUUAGCUGGCUAGGGUUUCCUUGAGAGAGGAUUCCGUCGAGCAUGGCACCUCCAGAAUGUUUGAAGAUUCGGUUCUCUUCAUGUCGUUUUGUUCUCCAGCAACUUUGUUCUAGAGGAACAAUUGUAGAAAUUUGUUCUUCAGCAAUUUUGUUCCAGAUGAACAAUUGUAGCAUUUUGUUCCAAAAGCCAAAUAGAAAUUUUUGUUCCACAUAUUUUAUUUGUUCUCAAAUCAAGGAUGUGUCCUAUUGGAACUAUUCUAGUAUUAUGUUCCACAUAUGUUGUACAAAUUUUUAUUUUUUUCUAAAUCAAAAAAUUUGUUCCAUUAGAACAAAUGUAAAUGUAAUAAUUUGUUCCAUUUCGUGAAAUUUAAAUUUGUUGCUCCCAUCUCA